AAGCACACGCCUCCAUCAGCACACACUACAGAGUUUUCUAAUUGCAUCCUGUUCAGACAGAUGCUGGUGUUUUGGUCCUCAAGUAGGGCAAGGUCAUUUUUCAGUGUUUUACAGAUUAUGAAAAAUAGUUGAAGAAGAUAUGCUUAUUUGAAUGUUGGUACUCCUAAAAUCAAGUAGCAGAGAAAAUCUCCUUGAAAGAUCUUGAACUUUUCACACUUCUCACAGGGAGAUAAUGGGUGGGAACAAUAGCUAGUUAACUCCACCCCAACCACUCCCCCACUAGAGUACCUGUCAAUCCUUGCCCAUUUAGGGGUUACCCUAUUUAAAGCUUUAUAACUCCAGAUGUGAACACCACAGAGACUAGAAAAA